GAUGAACGCUAGCGGCAGGCUUAAUACAUGCAAGUCAAGGGGGUAGCAAUACAACCGGCGCACGGGUGAGUAACGCGUACACAACAUACCAUAUACUGGAGUAUAGCUUCGGGAAACUGAAGGUAAUCCUCCAUAACAUUGCGAGAAGGCAUCUAAUUGCAAUUAAAGUUUCGACGGUAUAUGAUUGGUGUGCGUUUGAUUAGCUAGUUGGUAGGGUAACGGCCUACCAAGGCGACGAUCAAUAGCUGGCGUGAGAGCGCGACCAGCCACACUGGAACUGAGACACGGUCCAGACUCCUACGGGAGGCAGCAGUAGGGAAUAUUGGACAAUGGGCGAAAGCCUGAUCCAGCCAUGCCGCGUGAUAGAUGAAGGCCCUCUGGGUUGUAAAUAUCUUUUAUCUGGGAAGAAACUCCUCUAUUCUUAGAGGCCUGACGGUACCAGAGGAAUAAGCACCGGCUAACUCCGUGCCAGCAGCCGCGGUAAAGUCGUAACG
rnacentral:rRNA from 1 species